GAGGGCGAGGACGCGGAGGUCGGCGAGGGGGGAGGCGGUGGAGGGGUGCGCCCGCUCUGGUACGAGCUCACUCGUGUGUGAUCCCGGGCGCCGCAGGGGCAGCGACAAGUCCGUGAAGGACAAGUGCAAGAUCGUCAACCGAGAUGACCUGAUCUGGUCCAUGGGCACGCUCGCCUUCGAGGACUACGUCGAGCCCCUCAAGCUGCACCUCAAGCUCUAUCGGGAGGAUGAUCUGAGUCACUCAGAAGAAGUGGAGAGUAGAAGGAGGGCACAAGAAGCUUUGUUUCUCAUUGAUGUUAUGUGUGAUAACUUAAAACUUGUGCUUCUCAUCCAAUAUUUGUAGAACUA